rnacentral:rRNA from 1 species
UACAGAGGGGGCUAGCGUUGUUCGGAAUUACUGGGCGUAAAGGGCGCGUAGGCGGCCUGUUAAGUCGAACGUGAAAUCCCCGGGCUCAACCCGGGAACUGCGUCCGAUACUGGCAGGCUUGAAUCUGGGAGAGGGAUGUGGAAUUCCAGGUGUAGCGGUGAAAUGCGUAGAUAUCUGGAGGAACACCGGUGGCGAAGGCGGCAUCCUGGACCGGUAUUGACGCUGAGGCGCGAAAGCCAGGGGAGCAAACGGG